AGUUUCCCCGGUAACAAGAGAGACCUAGAUCUAGAUCCUUGCAUCAACACCGUGUGCUUUGGGUAAACCAUAUUCUGCCUCAUUGGCUGUGCGGACAAGCUUGACCACAUUGCUUUAUGGCUCCUUAGAUGUUCCGAGCCUAUGUGAGCCCCCAGCUCACUGGGAGCCCUGCUAGGAAUCCUGGGCUCUCCUCCGCUUCAGUUAGCCCUCUGGAGGUGCAGGACAAGCCAGCGCCAUUUGCAGCUCUCUGACACACACAGGAUUUGUGCAGAUGCCAAGGAUGCAGGCGUGGCCCUCAGGCUGAGCUUCUGCUUUGCUUUCCCAACCAGCACCACUCGCCAUCCUCGGGGGCAAGCCUAAUGCUUAUCAUCGAGUUCCCCCAGCAUUCACACCCUGCAGCGAGCUUUGGAUCUUACCACAUGGAUUUGAGGAGCGCUAAAGACGCCUCAUGUUUGCAGGGAUCACACAGAACUGGGUGUUGUUUUGGCCAAUAAAUAGUCACUUAUGAUUGGAGGAAAGGAAUUUGAACAGGCAGGCUCAGAUUGGCAAUUUGAAACGGAGAUGCUUUGCCGCUAGCCUGGUCCUGGGUGAAGGAACUGGUGAUCCUGUUUGCCAGAGAUGGCUCCUCUGGGGGAUAUUCUGA
rnacentral:sRNA from 1 species